GACGAACGCUGGCGGCAUGCCUAACACAUGCAAGUCGAACGAGCGCUUCGGGUCCAGUGGCGUACGGGUGCGUAGCGCGUGGGAACCUGCACUUAGGUUCGGACUAACUAUCAGACAGGGAUGCUAACACCGGAUAGUGUCUUCGGCCCAAGGAUUUAUCGAACUUGGUUGUGCACGCGUUGGAUACGCUCGUUCUGAGGGUAAUAGCCUACGAAGGCGAGCAUCCAUAACUGGUUUGAGAGGAUGAUCAGCGACACUUGGACUGAGACACGGCCCAGACUCCUACGGGAUGCAGGAGUGGGUAAUAUUGGACAAUGGGCGGAAGCCUGAUGCAGCAAUGCCGCGUGAGUGAUGUUGUCCGUAGGGUUGUAAAGCUCUUGUACCCGUGAUGAUAAUGACAGUACCGGAAGAAUAAGCUCCGGCUAACUCCGUG
rnacentral:rRNA from 1 species